rnacentral:rRNA from 1 species
GGGGAAUUUUGCGCAAUGGGGGCAACCCUGACGCAGCGACGCCGCGUGGGUGAAGAAGGCCUUCGGGUUGUAAAGCCUUGUCUAGGGGGAAGAUAGUGACGGUACCCCUGGAGGAAGCCCCGGCUAACUACGUGCCAGCAGCCGCGGUAAUACGUAGGGGGCGAGCGUUGUCCGGAAUUACUGGGCGUAAAGGGCGUGUAGGCGGCUAAGCAAGUCAGCUGUGAAAGGCCCUGGCUCAACUGGGGUUUUGCAGUUGAAACUGUUUAGCUUGAGUGCAGGAGAGGAGGGUGGAAUUCCUGGUGUAGCGGUGAAAUGCGUAGAUAUCAGGAGGAACACCGGUGGCGAAGGCGACCUUCUGGCCUGUUACUGACGCUGAGGCGCGAAAGCUAGGGGAGCGAAC